AAAGACUUCAAAGUAUUUUGAAUAAGAAUGAAAUUCACGGUUCAGAGGUUGAGUGUUUGUAUUGGAAGACUUGCAAUAGAUAGUGUGCGCGUGUGUUAUAUUUUGCCAUCCACUUAGUCUAGUAUUUAUAUAUCUCAAUGAGAAAUAGAUGUUGCACAUGACCGUUUAAGAAGAGACCAGACAAGUCACGUUCCUUCCCUAAGACUAGGGAUAAUGUAAGAAGGCUAUUCUGAACCACUUGAAAGGCCGCUUUCUUCAUUGGUAAAAGUGUUGAUGCAGUGAUUCAACCUUCAUGACCAAGUCUUCACAAGGAUCAAGAUCAAUCCAGAGGAUUCCCCAAGUGCCCUGACUGUGAACACUGUAUUAACUAAGCCAGUUUUAUUGGCUUAUAUGUUUGUGCGGAUAGCUAUUUGUGAGCCUUGGAUGCAAGUUAUAUGCUUCCCAUGUUGAAACAGUUGCAUAAUUUGGUGUAGUGUUUCUUCUUUUUGCUUUGGGGCUGGAGUUUUCCCUGGCAAAGGUUCUCUAUUCGUGAGUUGCCAAAUUUUCUUUUACCAUUACACAAAUUUUGGUGGAACGGAAUAGUAAUAAUGCUCUUCGUGUUCAAGUUACAAUUGGCACUCUUAUUUUUCAGGAUUGUUCAGUGGGUCUACUAUUUGCGUUGCUCCCAGUCUUGGGCGGUAACAGUGGUCUUUUACAAAUUACAAGGGAUUAUUUCAAUGGGUAAACUUUUUUAACUUCAGGUUGCUAGUGUUGUCCUUGUAUCUCACUGCUACAUCGAUACUGUCUUGGUCGCUUGUUCCUCACUUUCUUAAACUCAUGAUGAGGCUCUCGUGUCAGACAAAUGAACUUUAUCAGCUAGCUGCUGUUGCUUUCUGCUUGUUAUCUGCAUGGGUAUAUGCAGUUUUGGCUUGUCAUUUUGAGGGCAAAAUUUUCAUUUGCUUACUUUCUUCAGGCAGAUGAAAAAACCAUUUGGUUUAGAGAAAGUCUCAAAGAAGGGUGGUAUCUGGAAAGACAUUUAUGGGACUGAUGAAAAGAAGGUUGUCGAUAGGGUUAGCGAAGAUGAAGUUGAUAUUUUGGUAGAACUUACUGGUCAUACUGCAAACAAUAAACUAGGAGUGAUGGCAUGUCGACCUGCUCCAGAACCUGAUAAUAACAGCUUCAAUAGCAGUGUAGCUGAUCAGCAAGUAUGUCUGAUAGUGGUGUUGGUCUGUUGGAGUUGUUAUUUCCUUUGAAAACAAGCUAGUGUUUCAUUGUGUUUAAAACUUUAAAUGAUUCCUAGACUUCAUUCCUGUCAAUUUCAAAUUCAUAAAAUAAUACAUCAUCCCUUGUAUCUCUGAAUAGAAAUAUGUAAAUCAAAAGUGAAAGUGGGAUCCCAAUUCUCAGAUUAA